AGAGACUGCAAGCGUUACUCGGAUUCACUGGGCGUAAAGGGAGCGCAGGCGGAAUCGUGUGUCGGAUGUGAAACCCGGGGGCUCAACUCCCGGACUGCGUCUGAAACUGCGAUUCUAGGGACUCGGAGGGGCCGGUGGAAUUCUUGGUGGAGCAGUGAAAUGCGUAGAUAUCAAGAGGAACACCAACGGCGAAGGCAGCCGGCUGGACGAGAUCNGACGCUCAGGCUCGAAAGUAUGGGGAGCAAAAAGGAUUAGAUACCCUUGUAGUCCAUACUGUAAACGAUGUCGACUAGGUCUUGGGGCAUUCGAACGCCCCAGGGCUCAAGCUAACGCAAUAAGUCGACCGCCUGAGGACUACGGCCGCAAGGCUA
rnacentral:rRNA from 1 species